GUGUGAACAUAUGUCAGAUGACUCUUAAGUAGCAUGCAAAGUUUCAUGGGGAUCGGACUAUAUGUGGCGCUAUAACUGUCCAUAAGGCUUCAAAAACACAUUAUAUCUGUUCUAAAUGGCUUCAGACUGCUAAAAAAACCCCUCAUAUUUUCACACAUACAUUAGAUUUGCAUUCAUUCUAAACAAGCAUGCACAUUUUUAGAGAGACUGGGCAAAAAAAUUACACUAAAAUAGUGAUAAAGCUUAAAACACAGUGUUGUAUGAGAAAUUGCAUUCAUAACCACUAGAUGGCAGCGGAAGACCACUAAUGGGCUGAUUAAAUGAACAAAAACAGUAUUUUUCAUUUGUUUGCUUGUACACAUUUUAAAAUCACUGCAAUAACAUUUAAAAUCGCAUUGAAUCAAAGUUUAGCAUUUUGUUCAAAUAUAAGUUUUUACAAUUAUGCCAGAUUAUGAUUACAAUGAAACCUGCCAAUGACAUACAAACUUGAAAAGAGAAGACUGUCUCUGUAUGUGUGUGUGUGUGUGUGUGUAGAAAUGCUCAAUGAUUAUUAAUAUAAUAGUUUAACCAUUUCAUUUCUGUGUGUGUGUGUAUGUGUGAGCCUAUUCUCCAGUUUAGAUGUGUUCUACUGUCAGACAUACAUCCAGGUUGGCCGAGACCUUAAAACCAUAACACCUUUUAAGCCCUGGUAAAAGCUCGAACCCCGGUAAUCGCUGCUUGCAGCUUUAAUUAUUAUUAGGGGUUCGAGCACGAAGUGCUGAAACCCUAUUGUAAUUGUUAGGAUUUUUUUAUUAUUAUUAUUAUUAUUAUUAUUAUUAUUAUUAUUAUUAUUAUUAUUCUUCCGCCCUAAAACUGAACGGGCAGACCAAACCGUAAGGCCUAGAGAGCUGAAACUUGGUCAAAAGGUAGUAGUCUUGCUCGCUACUCAGGCGCAAAGAACUGGCCCAAUCGGCCUAAUGGGGGCGCUACAGCGCAAAAAACUAAAUUUUCAGACAUUUUUGGCCGUAGCUCGUAAACCGUUUGUCGUAGACUCAAAAACAUGGCAUCGUUGCAAUCCUUGGGUUAGCCCGAACAAAAUUGCUCUGCUGAUUUUUUCGCUCUACGGCGCAUCGUUUUCUCGCAAAAUUGAGUUAUAUCUGAAACCUACUUUUGCGAACUAGUCCUAGGUUUUUCACCUGAUCAGAACCAAACCACUGCAGAAAUAUUCUCUGGACACUCAAUAUCAAUAAUUAUCGAAAAAAAGUUGAAAUUUCGAUUCUUACGCGAAACAGUACACCAAAAAGCGUCUAUGCUAACGUUAGCCAAAUGUUAUUUUAGCUAUAACUCUUGAACGGAAUGACAUAUCUUCAUCAAACUCGGGACAAAUGUGUAUAAUCUCAAUCUUUGGUCAAAUUAAAAAAAAUGCGCACCUCUACCACUUGGGGGCGCUAUAAGACAGAAAAAACACAUAAAUGGCUAUAACUAUUCAACCAUUAGUCCGAUCGACUUGAAAAUUGGAAUGCAGUUUCUUUGUCUGAAGGGGCACAAUCGUCUAUGAG
ensembl:lncRNA